rnacentral:rRNA from 1 species
UACGAAGGGUGCUAGCGUUGUUCGGAAUCACUGGGCGUAAAGCGUGCGCAGGCAGUCUUGUAAGUCAGGGGUGAAAUCCUGGGGCUUAACCCCAGAAUUGCCUUUGAAACUGCAAGGCUUGAGUCUCGGAGGGGGUGGCGGAAUUCCUAAUGUAGCGGUGAAAUGCGUAGAUAUUAGGAGGAACACCAGUGGCGAAGGCGGCCACCUGGACGAGCACUGACGCUCAUGCACGAAAGCGUGGGGAUCAAACAGG